rnacentral:rRNA from 1 species
CAAUAGCGUAUAUUUAAGUUGCUGCAGUUAAAAAGCUCGCAGUUGGAUUUCGGGUGGGAAUGGCCGGUCCGCCGUUUCGGUGUGCACUUGCUACGCCCACCUUGCUGCCGGGGACGUGCUCUUGAGUUCACGCUCGGGACACGGAGUCGGCGAGGUUACUUUGAGUAAAUUAGAGUGUUCAAAGCAGGCCUACGCUCUGAAUACAUUAGCAUGGAAUAACACGAUAGGACUCUGGCCUAUCUUGUUGGUCUGUAGGACCGGAGUAAUGAUUAAGAGGGACAGUCGGGGGCAUUUGUAUUUAACUGUCAGAGGUGAAAUUCUUGGAUCUGUUAAAGACAAACUACUGCGAAAGCAUUUGCCGAGGAUGUUUUCAUUGA